UUGUCCCGCCCUGCUGCUUUCUUCUCCUCAUGGCGAAAGGCAGCCUAUAUCUUCUGGCAACCUUUUUGUCUUCACCUCGCUUGUGCUUAAAAUGAAACUGACUUCUGAGCAUUACAAAAAUCAAAUGAAAAGAUAUUGGAAGCAAUAUGUAGGCAUUGUGACUGGAGCCAAUCAAAGCCAUGUCCAAAUGAAUUUCAUCAAAGCAUCAUCCAGGCCAUGCUGUCUAGAGGAUUCUCGGAGUCCAAAACAGCAGCUUUUCCAAGUAUGGUCCUAACUCAAGGGAGCUUACCCAGUUGCAUGUAGCCAGGAAAUCUGUUAAACCGGCUGAAGAUUAGUAUAAAUUCAAGCUUGCUCAACCACAAAUUAUACAAACUCAUAUCUGUUGCUAUACCAGGCACUGUUGAGUGCACAAGAAAUAAAGAUAUCAUGUUAAAUGAUAAAGAAAGAAUAUAGCUAAUAUAUAAUGAGAAGAGAGGACAGUAAUCUGGAGGUUUUUUUUGUGUCAGGAGCAACUGGAGUUGCUUCUGGAGUGAGAGAAUUGGCCAUCUGCAAGGACG